UACGAAGGGGGCUAGCGUUGCUCGGAAUCACUGGGCGUAAAGCGCACGUAGGCGGACUAUUAAGUCAGGGGUGAAAUCCCGGGGCUCAACCCCGGAACUGCCUUUGAUACUGGUAGUCUCGAGUCCGGAAGAGGUGAGUGGAAUUCCGAGUGUAGAGGUGAAAUUCGUAGAUAUUCGGAGGAACACCAGUGGCGAAGGCGGCUCACUGGUCCGGUACUGACGCUGAGGUGCGAAAGCGUGGGGAGCAACAGG
rnacentral:rRNA from 1 species